rfam:Gasterosteus aculeatus cont1.006047, whole genome shotgun sequence.
UUUAAAGUGUAAUGUAAGUCGCUUUGGAUAAAAGCCUCUGCUAAAUGACAUGUA